rnacentral:rRNA from 1 species
GACGAACGCUGGCGGCGUGCCUAAUACAUGCAAGUUGAGCGCUGAAGGUUGGUACUUGUACCAACUGGAUAAGCAGCGAACGGGUGAGUAACGCGUGGGGAAUCUGCCUUUGAGCGGGGGACAACAUUUGGAAACGAAUGCUAAUACCGCAUAAAAACUUUAAACACAAGUUUUAAGUUUGAAAGAUGCAAUUGCAUCACUCAAAGAUGAUCCCGCGUUGUAUUAGCUAGUUGGUGAGGUAAAGGCUCACCAAGGCGAUGAUACAUAGCCGACCUGAGAGGGUGAUCGGCCACAUUGGGACUGAGACACGGCCCAAACUCCUACGGGAGGCAGCAGUAGGGAAUCUUCGGCAAUGGACGAAAGUCUGACCGAGCAACGCCGCGUGAGUGAAGAAGGUUUUCGGAUCGUAAAACUCUGUUGGUAGAGAUGAACGUUGGUGAGAGUGGAAAGCUCAUAAAGUGACGGUAACUACCCAGAAAGGGACGGCUAACUACGUG